rnacentral:rRNA from 1 species
CCUACGGGUGGCAGCAGUGGGGAAUAUUGCACAAUGGGGGGAACCCUGAUGCAGCGACGCCGCGUGAGUGAAGAAGUAUUUCGGUACGUAAAGCUCUGUCAGCAGGGAAGAAGAAAGACGGUACCUGACCAAGAAGCCCCGGCUAACUACGUGCCAGCAGCCGCGGCAAUACGUAGGGGGCAAGCGUUAUCCGGAUUUACUGGGUGUAAAGGGAGCGUAGGCGGCAGGGCAAGUCUGGAGUGAAAGGCAUGGGCCCAACCCCUGGACAGCUCUGGAAACUGGCCGGCUGGAGUGCAGGAGAGGAGAGUGGAAUUCCUGGUGUAGCGGUGAAAUGCGUAGAUAUUAGGAGGAACACCAGUGGCGAAGGCGGCUUACUGGACUGUAACUGACGUUGAGGCUCGAAAGCGUGGGGAGCAAACAGGAUUAGAUACCCGAGUAGUC